CCCACGUCGACUUCUGGGAGUGUCCCACAGAGAAAAAGGAAACGAGUUAACGAGGUGGAUGAAGAUGGAGGUUCUGACCUCUUGUCCCCCAAAAGGAGACUGGAGCCCCUCAGUGAAGAUGGGAGUUCAGAUGUAGAUGAUCAGAGUCCAGGAAAAAGCUUGGUGAAGAGGCCCUCACAGAAGAAGAAAAGACGUAAAAAGUCCACGACAGUGGAAGCAAUGGAUGGAGUUUCUGACCUCUCGUCCUGCAGUGACGAGGGGAGUUUAAAUAUAGAUGGUGAGUUAAAUAACGUUUAUUAUGAAAUUCACAAAAACUCCUGCCUUUUUACAAAGGACCCUGCUAGCUUUUUCUCAAACUUAGUAGAGUACUACUUUAAGGACAAUUCUGGAGCAAAAUUAACCUAGGGGUUAAUAACACGUGUAC